GGUGGUUCAGUGAUAGAAUGCUUGCCUUGUGUGCAUGAGGCCCUGGGUUCGAUUCCUCAGCACCA
rnacentral:tRNA from 1 species